rnacentral:rRNA from 1 species
AACGAACGCUGGCGGCGUGCCUAACACAUGCAAGUCGAACGGAUCUUGAUCUGUAGCAAUACAGGUUAAGGUGAGUGGCGCACGGGUGCGUAACACGUGAAUGAUCUGCCUCCGAGAUCGGGAUAACCUGCCGAAAGGCGGGCUAAUACCGGAUGAGACCACGGUUUUAAAAGACUGGGGUCAAAGACGGCCUCUAUUUAUAAGCCUUCACUUGGAGAUGAGUUCGCGGCCCAUCAGCUAGUUGGCGGGGUAAUGGCCCACCAAGGCUAUGACGGGUAGCUGGUCUGAGAGGACGACCAGCCACACUGGAACUGAGACACGGUCCAGACUCCUACGGGAGGCAGCAGUGGGGAAUAUUGCGCAAUGGACGAAAGUCUGACGCAGCAACGCCGCGUGGGUGAUGAAGGCCUUCGGGUCGCAAAGCCCUGUCAACAGGGAAGAAACUCCUGGGUGCGAACAGCGCUCAGGAUUGACGGUACCUGUGGAGGAAGCACCGGCUAACUCCGUGCCAGCCGCCGCCGUAAAAC